UACGGAGGGUGCAAACGUUGCUCGGAAUUAUUGGGCGUAAAGAGCUCGUAGGCGGUCUGUCGCGUCGGUCGUGAAAACUUGGGGCUUAACCCUGAGCUUGCGGUCGAUACGGGCAUGACUGGAGUUCGGCAGGGGAGACUGGAAUUCCUGGUGUAGCGGUGAAAUGCGCAGAUAUCAGGAGGAACACCGGUGGCGAAGGCGGGUCUCUGGGCCGAUACUGACGCUGAGGAGCGAAAGCGUGGGGAGCGAACAGG
rnacentral:rRNA from 1 species